rnacentral:rRNA from 1 species
UACGAAGGGGGCUAGCGUUGCUCGGAUUGACUGGGCGUAAAGGGCGCGUAGGCGGUUCGUACAGUCAGACGUGAAAUUCCUGGGCUCAACCUGGGGGCUGCGUUUGAUACGUGCGGACUUGAGUUCGGUAGGGGAGACUGGAAUUCCUGGUGUAGCGGUGAAAUGCGCAGAUAUCAGGAGGAACACCGAUGGCGAAGGCAGCCCCCUGGGCUAGCACUGACGCUCAGGCACGAAGGCGUGGGGAGCAAACAGG